CUUCCGCCAAGAUAACUUGCCCAACGUCCUAGCUCUUUUCCUCCUCUUCUACACCUUCCUUUCCAGCGAUUUUGAAGUUGCUACCUGAGCCGUAAAUCCUGCCGAUUGAAAAAGAGAAGGAAUUGAGAGUUUCUUGAAGGUGAAGGUGGUGUGCGUUUUGCUUAGCAGCUCUGGUUUUGGCUUUGUGGAUUGCAGCUGAUGCUAGCUGCGUUGGCUGUUGCAGCUUUUUCAAUUUUUCAUUCUUUUUAUUCUGCAUUUUAUUUGGAUAUAUGUCAAAAUAUGUAAAAGGAUUACUGGAUAAAAAUGGAUUUGGUGUAUUGGAUAAUUUGGAUCAAGAAUUGGAUUACUAAUUGGAUUUGGAUAAAUGUCAUGAAAAUGGAUAUGGAUAUUUGGUA